UACGGAGGGGGUUAGCGUUGUUCGGAAUUACUGGGCGUAAAGCGCAUGUAGGCGGAUCAGGAAGUCGGGGGUGAAAUCCCGGGGCUCAACCCCGGAACGGCCUUCGAAACUCCUGGUCUUGAGGUCGAGAGAGGUGAGUGGAAUUCCGAGUGUAGAGGUGAAAUUCGUAGAUAUUCGGAGGAACACCAGUGGCGAAGGCGGCUCACUGGCUCGAUACUGACGCUGAGAUGCGAAAGCGUGGGGAGCAAACAGG
rnacentral:rRNA from 1 species